rnacentral:rRNA from 1 species
UACAGAGGGUGCAAACGUAGCUCGGAAUUACUGGGCGUAAAGCGCGUGUAGGCGGCAUGCUAAGUCGACUGUGAAAGCCCAUGGCUCAACCAUGGAAGUGCGGUCGAAACUGGCGUGCUCGAGUCCUGGAGAGGGUGGCGGAAUGCUCAGUGUAGAGGUGAAAUUCGUAGAUAUUGGGAGGAACACCGGUGGCGAAGGCGGCCGCCUGGACAGGUACUGACGCUGAGACGCGAAAGCGUGGGUAACAAACAGG